CGAACGGGUGAGUAACGCGUGAGGAACCUGCCCCAAAGAGGGGGACAACAGUUGGAAACGACUGCUAAUACCGCAUAAGCCCACGGCUCGGCAUCGAGCAGAGGGAAAAGGAGUGAUCCGCUUUGAGAUGGCCUCGCGUCCGAUUAGCUAGUUGGUGAGGUAACGGCCCACCAAGGCGACGAUCGGUAGCCGGACUGGGAGGUUGAACGGCCACAUUGGGACUGAGACACGGCCCAG
rnacentral:rRNA from 1 species